rnacentral:rRNA from 1 species
GACGAACGCUGGCGGCGUGCUUAAUACAUGCAAGUCAACUGAACUUGAGGUAGUAAUAUUUCAAGGGAGGUGGCGCACGGGUGAGUAACACGUAGGUAAUCUGCCUUUAGGUCUGACAUAAUCCAGCGAAAGCUGGACUAAAAUCAGAUGAUGCAGCGGCUCGACAUCGAGACAGUUGUUAAACCUUCGGGGCCGUAAAGAUGAGCCUGCGUCNGAUUAGGUAGUUGGCGGAGUAAGAGCCCACCAAGCCUUCGAUCAGUAGCUGGUCUGAGAGGAUGAUCAGCCACACUGGAACUGAGACACGGUCCAGACUCCUACGGGAGGCAGCAGUAAGGAAUAUUGCUCAAUGGCCGAAAGGACUGAAGCAGCAACGCCGCGU